UCUUCUAUCAGGCCUCCCUGCCCUCUAAUCUCCCUUGGGUCCUCACUGGUGCCUGCAAAUCUUUAUUCACGUUGUGUUAAUUUCUCUAACUUAUGCCCAGCACUGCUAAAACCUCUUCGUGAUCUCUCAGGCUUAUGGCAUCACUGUCUCCGUACUCAGAUGACCCAACCUCCUGCUUUGCUAAUAAGAUCCAGCCCAUCUUCCAGCUCCUCUACCCAGAAAAGGAAACGUUAAAACAGAAACAGAGAAACAUCUAAGAGGGCACUUGCAAUGCAGUGAGAAAGAUCAGCAAAUUAAAGAAAACCUGACUGUGGGAAUAUGGAAGACUAUGGGACUGUGGGAGAAUGUCAUGAUCCAUGCAAGCCCACUGCUGGUCCUGAGAAGGUCCUUGCUUCCGCUUCACCUUAUGCCAUGAUUCCAAGUUUCCUGAGGCCUCCCAGUCAUGCUUCCUGUUAAGCCUGUGGAACAGU